UUUUUUUUUUUUUUUAACAAUUCCUGGGUCAUAAAUAGCUCUACAAAUUACUCCAAUCAGACUGUGGUUCCUUUGAGAGUGAUUUCUGAUGUCAUGUUAGAUAUUUGUUCUCACCCCCAGGAGGACUCCUCCCAACUGCAUUAUUCUGGUUCUCUCCUGCAAAGUAGUCAACCUACAAUGUAGGCUCUAUCUUCAUUAAAUCCACCAAUUUGCCUCCAAAUUUAAUUUUAACCCUAGCCCCACUAAUCUCAAGAGUGUCCUUUGGCUUGUACUUCUCCAAGGUCUGUUGCAAAUGAAGUCAGUACUCUUGGGAAGAGAUUGAGAGCUAUCAGUUUAUGGCUGCUUCUCCCUCAGGCAGUUUCUGAACCAGGGUUUUGGAGCUGGAGAUGGGGACAAAGGUAAAUUUCUCUCAGAAUGACACCUGUGCUCUAGGAGUUGAGGACUUAGGUAGAUGGGGGAGGCAGAAGCCUGAGCUUGCCUCCCCUGGCAUGGAGCCAUAACUUCAUGAGCUGGGGUACUCCAGGACACUCAGCAUGUCAUGCCCAAGCUAGAGUCUCCAUUUCAUGAGUGAGGCUGAGGGAAGGGACACCCUUAUUUAUUGAUUGCAUUCACUCAGAACUUAGCCUCAGCAACAGAUAGCUGGGGAUGGAAUGAGAAACACUGAAGUUCUGUACCUCCUGGCAAGAAAGCUCUUCCACUGGGAGCUGGAAGAGGAGAAGGAGAGAGUAGUCUUUGUUCAGAUACCACAGACUCUCAUAUUUCUUUCCAAAUUUUUGUGAAUUUUCUGGAAUAGAUGGUUUUUCAUUUUCUGUUUGCCCUUAGAACCAUUCCAAGGAGCUUUACAUUUUUGAAAACUACUUUCACCAGUUUCUCUGUGAAUUGAGUCAGCAAAACUCCUUACACUAACACAGGAAGUGCAGCAACCAUUCAUUUUAAUGCAGUCAUUCAUUGCUAACUUACAGCAGAAUGGCUGUGGAAUAUAUGCUGUCCUCUUAUUAUUACUUUUGCAGCAACUAGUGACAUGGUUUGAGACCCCUAAUGAAUAGUGACAAGGUGUUUAUGGGGAACCAUGCUUUGCUCUGGUGAGAUCACAGGCACUAAGAGCAGCUCAUGGAAGAUGCGGGUUUGUCAGUGAUUGGAUAAAUGCUAUACAGUAACACGAAUGAUUAAACCUCUAAAGCUCAACCUGUUGGAUGGGCUUUGAAGAGGCUACAAACCAAUUAGUCUUUUUAUCUUUCAGGAACAGCCUGGAAAACAGGAUCUUAAUUCAAGCUCAGCUUGAUUUCUGGGCUAUGGAGAAUAAAAGAUGUCAGUGACAUAAAACAGGAAACAAUUGAUUAAGUCUUAUCUGAGUUUUAAAGGCUGAAUGCUGAGAAAAGCUCUAGUCAUUUGCAAUAAUCACAUUUACAUCAACCUUGAUGAAAAUGAGGUGCCGCUAAGCCUCAGAAUGAUUCUCAGCUCUGGAAAGUAUUUCAUAUUGUCUCAAGUCUUCAGAGAGGUGCUGAGCAAGAAGCACCUGCUGUUACAUUGUGACUAUUAAGAACACAGAGUCCUUCUGUUGCAGUUACCUUUUCUUUGAUGCUAACACCUAGCACCCAAGAACUACCAAUGAGGUUGAAAUACAAGAACCCAUGUUUUCUAAAGAUGUUUCAUCAGGAAAAGAGAUAUGGUAUGCUCAAAUACACUCUGUUUGACUUUUGCCUCUAAGGGGUUUUCCCUCUGUCUAUGGACUUAAAAAAUAAUUUCCACAAUGCUUUUAUAUCUUCUAAACAUAAAAUAUGGGAACAGCAGGGGAUUGACAUUUAGUUCAUUAGGUUGGAACUGAGAUUUCUC
rnacentral:lncRNA from 1 species